rnacentral:rRNA from 1 species
UACGAAGGGUGCAAGCGUUACUCGGAAUUACUGGGCGUAAAGCGUGCGUAGGUGGUUUUUUAAGUCCGUUGUGAAAGCCCUGGGCUCAACCUGGGAAUGGCAGUGGAUACUGGAAAGCUAGAGUGCGGUAGAGGGUAGUGGAAUUCCCGGUGUAGCAGUGAAAUGCAUAGAGAUCGGGAGGAACACCAGUGGCGAAGGCGGCUGCCUGGACCAGCACUGACACUGAGGCACGAAAGCGUGGGGAGCAAACAGG